GAGAAACCCCUAAUUAUUAUUGCAAGUCAAAAGGACUAAAUUCCUGUAGCAGUGGCAUUGCAUUUGUCAUCCGAAGAAGUAAGAGCUUUAUCAUCUGAAGAGUGGGCUAAACGGCAAAAUCUGAAAGAACAACUAAAAACUCUUCUAGAUGGAACUGUUAUUCACGCGAAGAUCGAAGGUGCUCUAACUGCAAGCCAGGGAUCGAAAUAUGAGGAUCUUUCACCCAAGUGCAAGCAACAAAAAGAGGAA
rnacentral:lncRNA from 1 species